GAUGAACGCUGGCGGCGUGCCUAAUACAUGCAAGUCGAGCGAUGCGGGGACGGGUGUGUUACACGUGGAUACCCUCUUAUCAGACUGGGAUCACUUCGGGACACCGGAGCAAAACCAGACACUUAUAGAUGGAUCCGCUCUGCAUUAGCUAGUUGGUAAGGUAACGGGUUACCAAGGAAACGAUCUAUAGCCGACCUGAGAGGGUGUGCGGACACACUGGAACGGGGACACGAUCCAGACUCCUACGAGAGGCAGCAGUAGGGAAUCUUCCGCAAUGGGCGAAAGCCUGACGGAGCAACGCCGCGUGAGUGAUGAAGGUAUUCGGAUCGUAAAACUCUGUUAUUAUGGAAGGGGGACCUAAUCAGAAAGCCACGGCUAACUACGUGCCAGCAGCCGCCGUAAUAC
rnacentral:rRNA from 1 species